GGAUUUUUCCCAGCGGAUGCCAGAAUGGCUGAAGAUUUUAGCAUUUCAAUAUACAUCGCCUCCUCUGAAUUUCCCAUCCAAUUCAGCACACCGCUUCUGCAGGUACUGACGAGCAUCGCCAAGCAGAAUUUGCUGCAUUUCACUAUGGAAUAAUUGCUGAACAAAUCCAUAAACAUAAUGACAACUGGAUGAUCCCAUGAGCUCGUUCUUUCCCAGUACACGCACAUCUUAAGAAGUUGGAUCUUUUUUCCAUAUCUGGUCUUGGGGAAGUCGCUGACUUAAUAUAAAAGUGCCCAGCUGCAGAGCAGUUUCGAACCUGCCCAGUGCUGCUGUGAGGGACCACGGGGCACGCGGCUGGGCAGGAAAUGGGAAUGGAGAUCCGAUCUGUUGCAGCAAGGCUGACCUGCUGCCCCUGCUCCUUUUUUCUUUCCUCUGAGGCAUCCUUUGGAUCUAAAGGCAAUUCUAUCACGGCAGCACAUGGUUCUUCCUCUCAGGAUGCUUUAUGCACAAGCUGAACGUGAAGCUGGAAUUGGUGGAUGCAGUUUUUCCUGGCCUGCAGAGCGAGCCGGUUUGACAGAAGCACUAGCAAGGCAGAACAAGUACAGAGACACUGUGUGAUCGUAAUCACUCCUAAAGCCCACCUCCCUGAUGCUUCUGAGCUGGAUCUCGACAGAAGCAAGUAAGCAAGGGUUUCUCUCUCAACUUGGUCCUGUAAUCCCCACCCUCUCCUUUCUCUACCCCCUCCCCAAAAUCCCCAGGAAAGCAGUGAAAUCCGAUAGGCAGCAAAAUCAAAGCUCUGUCCUGUUACCAGGUUUCCCACCACUAAAUCUGCGAGGGACUUGGGGACAUUCUCUAUGACUGAACAAGUGACUGCUCUGUCCUGGGGGUAUAAAUCUAAUGCAAGCUUGUCAGCAUAAGCCUUGUAUAUUUAUGGGAAGCUUUCAGAGGAACUGCACGGGAUCAGAGUUUCUGUUCAGCUCCAAGACACAGCAUCCCCCGGCUUGCCUGCGAACGGAGAGGCAUGUCCCAGGCACACGCCGCUGCCUCGCUGCCGAGCCCUGAAGAGCAGUGAUGUAUUUGUACUGAUUUGUCGCUUCUGGAGCCGGUGUAAGAGACCUGGAGUGGGAGCAUGAAGGAUGGAAGUGACACCCAGGGUAAGGGCAAGGAACAUUCACGCUAUAUUUAGGGCAGAAGCAGAUAGUGGUAACAAUUGCAAGGAUCAUAUAUAAUGCAGUAAAACUGUCU